rnacentral:rRNA from 1 species
GCAGCAGUGAGGAAUAUUGGUCAAUGGACGCAAGUCUGAACCAGCCAUGCCGCGUGCAGGAUGACGGUCCUAUGGAUUGUAAACUGCUUUUGUACGGGAAGAAACCCCUCUACGUGUAGAGGGCUGACGGUACCGUAAGAAUAAGGAUCGGCUAACUCCGUGCCAGCAGCCGCGGUAAUACGGAGGAUCCAAGCGUUAUCCGGAAUCAUUGGGUUUAAAGGGUCCGUAGGCGGCUUUAUAAGUCAGUGGUGAAAUCCGGCAGCUCAACUGUCGAACUGCCUCUGAUACUGUAGAGCUUGAAUUACUGUGAAGUAACUAGAAUAUGUAGUGUAGCGGUGAAAUGCUUAGAUAUUACAUGGAAUACCAAUUGCGAAGGCAGGUUACUAACAUUAUAUUGACGCUGAUGGACGAAAGCGUGGGGAGCGAACAGGAUUAGAUACCCUGGUAG